GCGUGGCGGCCGCCGGGCAGGGCUGCCGUGGGGCGGGGCUGGGGCCGCGCUGCCCGCCCCUCCCCCGGUGCCCGUGACUGUGGGUGAUUACGGGGGCGCCCGGCCGAGGCCCCGCAGCACCGCGCUGCCCGCCCUUUUCCCCGCUCGUCCCGGGCGCCUCGCGGGCUGUUAACGGCUCCGCUGCCGCGCACGGGGGGCGGGCGUGCGGAUCUGGGGAGUAACAGUGGCUGGAGAGCACGGACCGCUGGGGGUUCAAGGGUGCCGCCUCGAGGGCAGCCGUAGUCUCAGGAACGUGCCCUUGCAGUGCAGGCGCUGCCAUCCCUCCAGCAGCACAUUUCAUUCGUGCCCGAAUAUUUCGUGCAGGUAUAUUUCAAGCAGGAAUAUGACAUUCUUCUUGUGAUCGCUUUUUUGAAGCUGCUGUGGCUUUUUCGUGUCGCUGAUGAGUCCUCCAAACUAAAAUCUUCUGAGAAGAGACAAAGUUCUUUUUCAAAGGGAGUUAUAUCAGGGUGCCUUUCUCGAAAAUGACAAGCACCGCCAGGAAAUGAUGUUUACCAGGGUUAAGCACUCAUCUUCCUGUUGCACCUAAGUUUUGUAGUGCCACAUACAGAAGAGUUUAAAGAGAGCUUGUUCUGGCUGAACUGCCUUGGAAGAACAGUGUGGAACCACACUUGGCAUUUCCUCAUAUUGAUCAGCUGAUCACCAGCGUAAGGUUAUCUUCUAACGACUCAUGGAAGAGUUGACUCUUACUGCUACCAUCAGUAGAAGAAGAAAUAAAGUGCAGGCUUAACUGUUCAUUUCCUUUGUGUGAACAUAAGCUUAGAAUGGAGGACCACAGUGGUCUGCAGCAGUCUGAAGAAUUCUGAUUUACGAUCAACUUCAUUGCAAAAAUCAGGAAGAUAAUGGUUUUUGCACAGGAGAAGAAAUCUAGUAACAGCCUGGUGUCACCCUUGGAUCCAUGUCCUGUGGCUUUGCUCUCUUUCUUGACUGGUAGUGGUUACAUGUGCAGUGAACAGUCUGGUCCCUGAAGACAAUGGAUGAAACUGACUCAUGUUCUUGGUGCUGUCACUGAUUAGUGAAAUUCUCAUAUCCAUCUGCAGGAAACAAACUUUUUUAUAGAUUGGAAGACCAUACGGCAGAGCUCUCUCAGCAGCUUGUGUUUGCCUGCAGAACACCAGAAAGCUGUUCAUAAGAAGUUAAUGUUUGUGCUGCAGAAGAAGCUGAUGUAUUGCUGCCCCUAAGUACCAAAUACUAAAGCUACUUCAUGUUGCCACCAUACUUCCUGUUCUGCUUGUUCUGCUGGUCUCUUUCCAGUGUGCCACAUGUCUGCAUUGUCUAACUACAUUACAAAAUUUUUAGGAGGAGGUGGAAGCUAAUGAGUAUGAACAAGCCAGAGCCAGGGCUUUUGGUGCAUCAUGAGUGAAGAGCCUCUUCAGAUACGGGAAUAAGCAUAAGACAAAUGCUUCACUAAGAAUGAGAGUGGAAAAACUUGAGUCAUUAUAAAAGCAAAAAAACCCCAAACCACUCAAACCAACCCAUGACAAAUAAACACCCUCCCCUACUCCCUCAAGAAAAAAAUGAGAAAAAAACCACAAACCACACAAAACCAACCUAUGAGCAGCAUAGGGCUUUUGAUUAUGGAGACUCCCGUCUUUUGGACUGCUCUCUCUUGCUAGGAAAGCCUUA